rnacentral:rRNA from 1 species
GACGAACGCUGGCGGCGUGCUUAACACAUGCAAGUCGAACGGAAAGGCCUGCUUUCCCUUGUGGAUUGCGGGUGCUCGAGUGGCGAACGGGUGAGUAACACGUGAGUGAUCUGCCCCCAACUUGGGUAUAAGCCUGGGAAACUGGGUCUAAUUCCCGAUAGGACUGCAGGGUGGUGCCUGUGGUGGAAUACGAUUUUCUAGUGGUUGGGGAUGAGCUCGCGGCCUAUCAGCUUGUUGGUGGGGUAAUGGCCUACCAAGGCGGCGACGGGUAGCCGGCCUGAGAGGGUGACGGCCACAUUGGGACUGAGACACGGCCCAGACGGCUGCGGGAGGCAGCAGUGGGGGAUAUUGCACAAUGGGCGGAAGCCUGAUGCAGCGAGGGCGCGUGGGGGAUGACGGCCUUCGGGUUGUAAACUCCUUGCGACCGCGAGGAAGCCACCUGGAUGGAAGGGUGGUGACGGUAGUGGUAGAAGAAGCACCGGCUAACUACGUG